rnacentral:rRNA from 1 species
CGGAGGGUGCGAGCGUUGUCCGGAAUCACUGGGCGUAAAGGGCGCGUAGGUGGCACGGUAAGCGUGUGGUGAAAGCUCGGGGCUCAACCCCGAGUCGGCCAUGCGAACUGCUGCGCUUGAGCACUGUAGAGGCAGACGGGAUUCCGGGUGUAGCGGUGGAAUGCGUAGAGAUCCGGAAGAACACCGGUGGCGAAGGCGGUCUGCUGGGCAGUAGCUGACACUGAGGCGCGACAGCGUGGGGAGCAAACAGGAUUAGAUACCCUGGUAGUCCACGCCGUAAACGAUGGGCACUAGGUGCCUGGGGGAGCGACCCCCUGGGUGCCGGCGCUAACGCAUUAAGUGCCCCGCCUGGGGAGUACGGCCGCAAGGCUG